GGUCAAAGAGCAAUAAUUCUGUAUUGACAUCAAUAUUACAUUACCUAAUAAGAAAAAAAAAGUUAUAAAAAAAAUAUCUAUAACUUAUAUUUUCAGGAGCCCCAGCAGCGCCCGCACCAGAAGCAGCACCAGCGCCAGCACCAGCCGAAGCACCUGCGCCUGCGCCGGCACCGGCAGAAGCGCCCGCCGCGCCACCACCGGUUGAAGCGUCCGCCUAAGCAAUUCCAUCUUUGUCGUCAACAGUCUGAAUCGUCGGAAAUCAUCAUUGUGGCUAAAUGAUGGAGCCAAAAA
rnacentral:lncRNA from 1 species